rnacentral:lncRNA from 1 species
UUCUUUUUUGUCUAAUUCUUCCUUUAAACAGGCAAUUGUCCAUCAAUCCGACUAGUCUUUAGCAUUCUUUCGAGCACUGCAUUGGAAGUCCUCCACUGCUACCUUGACUGAGGCUGGACUUAUCUGAUUGUCUGAUUCAGCUAGUCUUUUUUUGCUAUUUCGAUAUCGCUCUUCCUUAUCCUCUCCAGCAGGAGUUCAAAAUCGUUGACGUGACAUCGACCAGAAUCAUUGAUGUGCAUCUAACUGAAAGCGAUCAUGCUCAACCUCCUCGAUUACAGUCAACUGGGAACUCAUCGAUGAAUAGGGCAUACGGCGUGACAAUCUGUUGACAUAC